UCCUACACCAAGUCCACACAGAUCGACACCACAAGCCCUCAUCCUCCGCUGCCCAUCUGCCAAAGCAAACAAGAACACACAAGACAGUUCAGGCAGGCAUGGAUGCAGAGUUCACCUGAGUUGGGAGGGACUGACUAGCCAACCAUGCAAAUGCAAGCAGGGCGGAGAAUUAGUAGCCGAUGUCGGCGCCGUCGUCGACCAAGGUCGCCGUUGAUGCCGGGGAUAGGUAUCGAUCACACGGUGUUAUGGGCCCUGGUCAAGAUCGCAGGAGGAGACGCUUCAAUCUGGCGAGAUCCCGGCUCUCGUUGCUGCUCUCUCGGAGGUGGAUCUCAUCUGGGAUAAUAUAUAUGGCAGAAUUUCCAAGGAAAUGCACGGUUGCCUUGUCGGCUGAGUGUAACUUCCAGGUCGCAACCUUUGUACGAGCAGCCGAAUGAGCAGGAACGAGUACACAUCACAUUUUAUUGACUCAUGCGUGGGUGGUGUAAACAACGGAAAUGAUUUGCGUACGACGAUGCAUGUCCGAAGCACGUACGACGAUGCAUCCGCAUCGUGAGCUAGCUAACCCGUUGAAAGACAUACGGCUUGAUUUGAUGGUCGUACGUGGUUCGGAUGAGAAUCGUCGUACGUGUAGCACUGCUCAGUCUUGGGUGGUGUAAACAAAGUCUUCUUAGGGUAUGUACAAUGGUUGAUAAGAUAGUUUUAUUUCAAGUUUUACAUGUAAUUUAUAGAUGAUAAAAAAAGUCUUACAAUGAAUCACCUCUUAAUUGUUCUCUCUUAAAUAAGAAAAGACAAAUUUUUUUUAUGAGUUAUCUUUCCUCCACCUCAUCAUUUAUCUUACAUGACACUACUAAGAUAGCAUCAUUGUACAUGUCCUUAUGUGACAGGAAAAAAAAACCAACAGCCCUACCAGGAAAUAAAACAAACGUGUGAAGCACGUGUUGUGCAUGAGAGUGAUUUUGUUUUCUUAACUCAUGCCUUUUGGUUUAUUGCACUAUCUUUCUUUUAACACGCAAGCGUUUAUAUACACGUACAUAGACUGAGCCGGCAUAUCAUGAAAUUUAUGAAUAAAUUCAGAAAUAAAUGCGAACAUCAGGAUUUAAACCCUGAUGAGCUAUGAAUAUCACAAUCUCUCUAACCAUCCAACCACAGACUGGUUCGCAUUGUACUCUUCGUCGUACUAUCUUUUCAAUGUGUUACUUGUUGUCCUUAAUAAUUAUCAUAUCUAAGAUGCCCUUUGGGUGUGUUUCGUACUAUGAAAAAGGGUCCUGCAUGGAUAGAGAGAGCGUGUGCUGACGAGACAGCAUAAAAUGUUUCACCAGUUAGUUAAUAGAGUGUCACAUAAAUAAAAUACAUAGUCCGGGUAGGAAAAAUACUCCACGAUGCUUGAGUGCCCUUGACCAAAGCCUAGCGCCCUCGAUCGCCCCAUCCUUUCCUCCCUGGCUACUACCUCAGAUCACCGCCAAUCCGCAUGACUUCCAAGGACGACAGCGGCGAAGCUCCCUCCUUGAGCAACACCUUGGUACUUGUACGCCUCUUCCUACUGAGCGACGUCGUUGUGCUCUCCGUUGGUUCCUUGGUGGUUGCGUUUUUCUGUUGCCAUUUUUGUUGGCGAUGCUCCGCCCCUCCUUUGGACGGAGCAUUGCCAGUAUAUGGACUUUUUUUUAGAAUAACUGCAUAUUUUUUAACCAGCAAAUGUUACAAACAUAGCACAUACAUAACAUCGCUGAGAGAGCACGAGAGACCAAAGGUGUCCCAACACAAAUGCAAAAAGGUCUCAAAAAGGAGAAAAUACAAUCUGAACCCCCGGGGGCCUUAAUGCAUGAAGAACCAACACCAGUCGCUGACCGCCGCCAUCGACGACGAGACGAACGGCGAAGGAGGACGCCAGAAACCAUCAAACCCUGAGCCGAGGGCACACCAUCACUGAAAAGGGCUUUCUGAGUCGAAGAUGAGCCCGGUCGCAAACGGUGAGGCAUAGCCGUUGUGGCACGUCGACCGGGGAAAGUCCCCGUGCAAAUCCUCGGCUCCAGUUUCGGCACCUCCGUUGGACGAAGUCGAAGGAGAAUUACCAGAUCUACCGCCACAAACCACCACGAGAGUGUUGAGUCACCAAGUCUCUCGCCAACAGCCGCGGUCACCGCACGGGCCGGUGACCAACGCUGGCCCGAGCACUCCUAUACAAGACUCUGUCGGCUUCCCAUCGACACUGAAGAACGUGUCGAUGUGGCAGAGACGAAGCCGAGGGAACAAAACUCCCGAUGUCCCCUGCUUGACCAAAUCCGAGCACGCCAAGCCUGUCGCCGCACACGUCGGCCAGGCCAAACCUAACCUCACCGCCCAAGACGAGCGGCAGGAAUCUACGCCGAGCAGCGCCCGAGGAAACACCACCGAGACGGAGGCGGAACCGGAGGACAAAAGGCACGAGCUGGGCAGCCGUCGCCGCCUCGUCGACCCAGCCCCACCACCCAGAUAUCGCCAGCCACGCGAAACCUGCGAGCAGACCGAAGCUCCCAGCCUUCUCGCCCACCGCAACGCAUACCACCGCGUUGGGGAGAGAGCAGGGGCACCCUUAUUAGCCGCACUCGCCAUUCCCACCGGAGAUGCGAAAACGACCAGCCACCACCAAGCUACAAAGCCUACCUAGACUACACCUGUACAAGCCAUGCCCCCGGAUCCGACGACCCCAACCUGCACCGAAGAGCAUGAAGUCCCGGGGGAGAUGGCGUCGCCGGAUCCAAAGCCGGCAAAGGAGUCGCCUCUCACUAGUGGAAAACGGGCCUUUGGCCAGGACCCUUUAGUCCCGGCCUGCCUCUGGGCCGGGACUAAAGGCCCGGCCACGUCGCCCCAAUUCUCAAUGCCUCCCUCGAGGCUUUAGUCCCGGCCCGUAAGGAGCCUUUAGUCCCGGUUCAUGUUCCAAACCGGGACUAAAGGGCUACGCGGCGGGUAGUGGUGGUGGCAACCGUUCGUAUCCCCCUUUAGUCCCGGUUGGUGGCUCAACCCGGGACUAAAUCCCUAACCCGUGCCCUGCCGUAGUGGUGGUAACCGUUGGUAUACCUCUUUAGUCCCGGUUGGUGGCUCAACCCGGGACUAAAUCCCUAACACGUGGCCUGCCGUAGUGGUGGUAACCGUUGGUAUACCUCUUUAGUCCCGGUUGGUGGCUCACCCCGGGACUAAAUCCCUAACCCGUGCCCUGCCGUAGUGGUGGUAACCGUUGGUAUACCUCUUUAGUCCCGGUUGGUGGCUCAACCCGGGACUAAAGGCCCAAACGGUUUGCAUCCCGCGUCGUUUCGGGCGAUGAAAAGCACGAACCAAAGCAGAGUCGCCAUUUCUCUGUUUCUUCUUCUCUCUCGCUCUCGCUCUGUUCUUCUCCUCUCUUCUUCCAUCAUGCCAACUCGCUUUGGAGAGGUGCUCGCACAUGGCAAGACCAAGCUCGAUGUCGUGUACACGAACGAGAGCAGGGAGAUGCCGUAUUUUCUUGAACAGUUGAAGGAACGAUGGCUUGACGCCGCAAUGGAUCAUGAGAAGUUCUUGGGGCUUGAUCUGGAGUACACGGCCGAUCAACGCGGUGUUGCCGUCAUCCAACUAUGCUUCGCACACCAUGUCUUGAUCUUCCAAUGGGCGAGGUAAGUUUUGAGGCUUUCUUUGAUCCAAGGUAAUGACAUUGUAAGUUUAUUUGUUUCAAUCAUAGUUGGUUCCCUUCAAAUAGUUGUAGUGAAACAAUUUUGAUUAGUUGAAGGGGAACACAAUCUGAUUGGAAUAGUGUUCCAUAAUCUGAAAAAUCGUAUUAGAAUCAACUAGUGUUUAAUAUGUUCCAUUGGAAUCAUAGUUGGUUCGCUUCAAAUAGUUGUAGUGAAACAAUUUUGAUUAGUUGAAGGGAACACAAUCUGAUUGGAAUAGUGUUUCACAAUCUGAAAAAUCUGAUUGGUUCAAUAUGUUCCAUUGAAAUCAUAGUUGUAGUGAUACAAUUUUAUGCGGUGUUAUUUGAUCCAAGGUUAUGAAAAUUGCAUAUAGCUAGUGAUCUCUCUAGGUUCCAUUUGAUAGCAAUAUGAUAUGUCAUAGUCAUGAAAAUUGCAUAUAGCUAGUGAUCUCUCUAGGUUCCAUUGGAUAGCUAUAGUGAUCUCUCUAGGUUCCAUUGCAUAUGUUCUAUUUGAAUCCUAAAGAUAAUUUUCUCUUUAGUUGUAGUGAAACAUGUUUCCUUAUUGCAGCAGUAUGUAACAUUUUCCAUUUUAAUUUGUUUCUGUUGCAGUAGUGACAAGCAUUGUCCAGAACUCAUGGACUUCCUGCGCAGCGGCAUCACUUUUGCUACCGUUGACAUAACGAACGACAAGCUGAAGAUGAGGUACAGCUUCGGUAUUGAGAUACCAACUGGUUGCCUCAUUGAUCUCCAAACGGUAUUCAGGCUUCGACAUGUCAGGACUUCGAUGGCUCAUAUGGCAGUUGCCUUGAUCGACGAGGAAUAUGGUGAUAUGAAGACCAAUUUUCCCAAAGUCUCAGCACAAACUUUGGGAGAAGGCCCCACUUGAUCGUAUCAACAUUGAGUAUGCAACAAAAGAUGCAUACGUUUCAUACGAGUUGUACCGCAAGAUUCGAGUCGUCAACUAUGGCCAGCGUCACCUCGAAUAAGGUGGACAUUCUGAUUCGAGUCGUCAACUAUGAAAACUAAUUCCCGAACACCAAACGAGGCAUCACGUUAAUCUUCCGAACACCUAAACCCUAAAAUCCUAAAACCCAAAAAUAAUUUCAUUCAAAAAAAACCCAAAAAUAAGCAAAAUCUAAAACUCUUUAGUCCCGGUCCGUGUAACGAGCCGGGACUAAAGGGCCUGCCCCUGAGGCGCUACGAGGCGCCCACGUGGAGCAUCUUUAGUCCCGGCUUGUAACAGGGCCGGGACUAAAGGUUAGGCGUCCCGGUUGGUGAACCGGGACUAAAGUCCCUUACGGGCCGGGGCUAAAGGCCCCGUCUCCACUAGUGUCUGGCAGUAUAUGGACUUGUGGUAACCUUUGUUAGGACUUAGGUGCUCCAUCCCUGUUCCUCACCUCUCACCUGAUUUGGACGCCCACCGGUUUGGUCUGGCCUAGUAUCUUUUUCCAGUCAUUUCUCGGUUAGAUGCGGAAGAUUUGCCGCAUGAUCUAGCGAUUGCAUCUGACGUUUUUCUUGACUGGUGAUUAAAGUUGGUCGUUAAGGUCUUGUUGAACGUACGUGUGGACCAAAAUAUGUUUUUAUCUUUGUGACAAGUACAAUGACCGCUGUUGUAUUUAUCUCUCAUCUCAACCCUCAACUAAAUUCUAUGUGAAUUCCUAGUAUCUCUUGCAAUCCCUGGUAUCCAUCAAUUGGUUCUGUCGCGCUCCUAAGUUCUCCUUCCCUCUCCGAUCAUAUAUCUCUUUAGUCGAAUCAUGGCAAGGUCAUGUCAAGACCCAAAUGUUUUUUCAAAAAGAUAGUAUAAACACACACACUCACAUCCAUGAACGCACAUACGCACGUUCUAUUCCUAUAAGCACAUUUGAAAGGCUGAGCCGGCGGAUGUUAAGAUUGACAAAGUCACAACAAACGUCACAUCACUCUAUGGACAGAAACAUUGCCUCCCAUUGAGAGUACAUUUCGCGUUUAUCACACACCAAAGCAUCAACAUUUAAUUCCUUGUGUUAGGAAUUAAUUAAAUGUAUUAAUUAAUGGAAUAAUCCAUGCGUUGCCGGUUGCCUUGAUUUAGCAACCGUUCCUUGUAACCGACUCUGUACUCGGGGUAUAAAUACCCCGCAUCUUCAAUCAAUAAUAAUUGUUCCAUCAUUCUGUCACUUUCACUGUUUUACACGUUAUCAGCACUCGCUCUGCCGAGAGCGACAGAGAGCCACGAGAAAGGUCAGAAUGGCAGGAAGAGAGUUGUCUGCACUUGCUUUUGCUUUCGCACGCUUCCUGCAGAAAGAGAACACCCGCUUCCCUCGCACUCAGCGCCACCGCAUUGCACGUCGCCAUCAGGGUCUUGGUGCAAGGAAUGGCCCUCAUCGCCGUUCCUUCACCAGGAACCACCGCCAGAACCGGAGUGGCCCUCAUCGCCGCUUCUUCGCCGGGAACCACCGCCAGAACCACCGCCGUGGGUAUGCACGUCGAGGCAACCAACCACUUCGUGGGCGUGCACCAACGGUGCACCAGGCUGGAUCCUCGACUCCGGCCACCGCUCCACUACAACAGGCUGGUGUUGUAGAUAUGCCCUAGAGGCAAUAAUAAAUUAGUUAUUAUUAUAUUUCUUAGNNNNNNNNNNNNNNNNNNNNNNNNNNNNNNNNNNNNNNNNNNNNNNNNNNNNNNNNNNNNNNNNNNNNNNNNNNNNNNNNNNNNNNNNNNNNNNNNNNNNUGGAUAAUAAACUAUUAUCUUGAUACAGGAAUUAUAAUAAUAACUAUGCAUUUAUUAUUGCCUCUAGGGCAUAAUUCCAACAGUGCCUUCUAGUUGCACUGUCUGUACCCAGACAGUUUAUAACUCUUCCGCUGGCUUGUAUUUGUAUGACUGCUAUUAUGGGUCGAGAGACCUUAAUGUGUAAUAUUAUGUGUGUGGCUCUUNNNNNNNNNNNNNNNNNNNNNNNNNNNNNCUUCCGAGCCUCUUAAAUAAAGCUUGUAUGUUUAUGGUUAUGUUGUGAUGCCAUCGAUGUAUCUAUACAUAUCGGUAUGCCAUGCGUACGUGUGUCUUACUUGGUAUGUAUGGGGUUCGAAUACCUAGUCGUGAACUUUAGUAGCACUCCUUACAAGGAAAUGCCCCUUUGUGAUCCAACGAGCCUUGGUAGUUCGCUACUGCUCCGGACACAUUGGUUGACCGGCAUGUGUCCUUCUUAGCUGCUGUGUCUGUCCCCUUUGGGGAAAUUUCACGCGAUGUAAUGGAGUCCUUGUAGCUUGCUACGACUCGUCUACAUUCGCCGAUGACCGACACCUGCUUUGUUGGGUCAUGUAUGCCUGUCCUUGUGCGGUACUGCCACUUUGGUUUAUGACUAGACAUGUCGAUCCGGGUUCUUUGACAUUGGAUUGCUAGCGACACUAUCGCAUACGUGAGUCAAAAGACGCAAACGGUCCCGGCUAAGGUAAGGCUGCAGCCGUGGAGUUAACCGUGCGUGAGACCACAAAGGGAUGCGAUGUGUUACAGGCUAGAUUCCUAUGGCUUAGGAUCGAGGUCCCGACACUUUAAAAUAUCCAUUUGUACUUAACGGUCUUACGACCAUCAAGUAGUUCUUCCAAAGUCUACACUUUGUUUUCAUACAUGGAUCCUCUCUCGGAUUUCAUGGCCUCCAGCCAUUUAUCGGAAUUCGAGCCCACCAUCGCUUCUCCAUAGCUCGUAGGUUCAUUGUUGUUCAACAACAUGACCUCCAAGACAGGGUCACCGUACCACUCUGUAGCAGUACGCGACCUUGUCGACCUACGAGGUUUGUAGUAGCUUGAUCAGAAGCUUAAUGAUCACAAUCAUUAGUUUCCACUUCAAUUUGCGUAGGCGCCACAUGAACAAAUUCCUGCGCCCUGCUACACACUAGUUGAAGUGAUGGUUCAAUAACCUCAUCAAGUUCCACCAUCCUCCCACUCAGUUCUUUCGAGAGAAACUUUUCCUCGAGAAAGGACCCGUUUCUAGAAACAAACACUUUGCUUCCGGAUCUGAGAUAGGAGGUAUACCCAACUAUUUUGGGUGUCCUAUGAAGAUGCGUUUAUCCGCUCUGGGUUCGAGCUUAUCAUGCUGAAACUUUUCCACAUGAGCAUCGCAGCCCCAAACUUUUAAGAAACGACAGCUUAGGUUUCUCCAAACCAUAGUUCAUACGGUGUCAUCUCAACGGAAUUACGUGGUACCCUAUUUAAAGUGAAUGUGGUUGUCUCUAAUGCCUAACCCAAAACGAUAGUGGUAUUUCGAUAAGAGACAUCAUAGUAUGCACCAUAUCAAAUAGGGCGCGGCUAUGACAUUCAGACAAACCAUCACACUAUGGUGUUCUAGGUGGCAUGAACUGCAAAACAAUUUCCACAUUGUCUUAACCGUGUACCAAAACUCGCAGCUCAGAUAUUCAUCUCUAUGAUCAUAUCGUAGACAGUUUAUCCUCUUGUCACGAUGAUCUUCACUCUGGAAUAGCUUUGAACUUUUCAAUAUUUCAGACUUGUGAUUCAUCAAGUAAAUACUCAUGUAUCUACUCAAAUCAUCAGUGAAGUGAGAACAUAACGAUAUCCACUGCGUGCCUUAGCACUCAUUGGACUGCACAUAUCAAAAAUCUAUUGCAUCCAACAAGUUACUUUCUUGUUCCAUGUGGUAUGAUUUUGCAUGUCUCAAGUGAGUUAAAAUCAAGUGAUUCCAAACGAUCCAUCUGCAUGGAGUUUCUUCAUGCGUUUAUACCAACAGGUAUGGUUUCCAUGUCUCAAACGUUUCAAAAAUGAGUGAGUACAAAGAUCCAUAAGCAUGGAGUUUCUUCAUGCAUUUUACACCAACAUGACUCAAGCGGCAGUGCCACAAGUAAGUGGUUCUAUCAUUAUUACUUUGUAUCUUUUGGCACCACUAUUAUGAAUAUGUGUAACACUACGAUCGAGAUUCAAUAAAUCAUUGAAGGUAAUUAUUCAAGAAAAUAGAAUAACCAUUAUUCUCUUUAAAUGAAUAAUCGUAUUGCAAUAAACACGAUCCAAUCAUGUUCAUGCUCAAAGCAAACACCAAAUAACAAUUAUUUAGGUUUAACACCAAUCCCGAUGGUAGAGGGAGCGUGCGAUGUUUUGAUCACAUCAACCUUGGAAACACUUUCAACACGUAUCGUCACCUCGCCUUUAGCUAGUCUCCGUUUAUUUCGUAGCUUUUAUUUCGAGUUACCAAUCACUUAGCAACCGAACCGGUAUCUAAUACCCUCGUGCUACUAGGAGUACUAGUAAAGUACACAUCAAUAUCAUGUAUAUCAAAUAUACUUCUGUUGACUUCGCCAGCCUACUCAUCUACCAAGUAUAUAGGGUAGCUCCGCCUCAGUGACCGUUCACCUCAUAACAAAAGCACUUAAUCUCGGGUUUGGGUUCAAUCUUGGGUUUCUUCAUUAGAGCAGCAACUGGUUUGUCGUUUCAUGAAGUAUCUCUUCUAGCCCUUGCCCUUCUUGAAACUAGUGGUUUUACUAACCAUCAACAAUUGAUGCUCCUUCUUGAUUUCUACUUUCGUAGUGUCAAACAUUGUGAAUCGCUCAAGGAUCAUCAUAUAUAUCCUUGAUAUGUUAUAGUUCAUCACGAAGCUCUAGCAGCUUGGUGGCAGUGACUUUGGAGAACCAUCACUAUCUCAUCUGGAAGAUUAACUCCCACUUGAUUCAAGCGAUUGUUAUACUGAGCACAUGCUCAACGAUUGAGCUUUUCUCCUUUACUUUGUAGACAAAGAAUCUUGUUGGAGGUCUCAUACCUUUCAACAAGGGCACGAGCAUGAAAUCUCAAUUUCAUAUCUUAGAACAUCUUUUAUGUUCCGUGACGUUUCAAAAUGUCUUCGGCGUCUUGCAUCUAAGCCAUUAAGUAUUACGCACUGAACUAUCACGUAGUCAUGAAAAAUGUGUAUGUCAGAUGUUCGCAACAUCCACAGACGACGCUUGAGGUGCAGCACACCGAGUGGUGCAUUAAGGACAUAAGCCUUCUACGCAGCAAUGAGGACAAUCCUCAGUUUUACGUACUCAGUCCGCAAAGUUACUACUAUCAUCUUUCAACUAAAUUUUCUCUAGGAACAUAUAAAAAAACAGUAGAGCUAUAGCGCAAGCUACAUCAUAAUUCGCAAAGACCUUUUGACCAUGCUCAUGAUAAUUAGUUCAAUUAAUCAUAUUACUUAAGAACUCCCACUCAAAAAAUACAUCCCUCUAGUCAUUUCAGUGGUGCAUGAUCCAAAUCCACUAACCCAAGUCCGAUCAUCACGUGAGUUGCGUAUAGUUUCAGUGGUAAACAUCUCUAUGCUAAUCAUAUCAACUAUAUGAUUCAUGCUCGACCUUUCGGUCUCUUGUGUUCCGAGGCCAUGUCUGCACAUGCUAAGCUCGUCAAGUUUAACCCGAGUGUUCCGCGUGUGCAACUGUUUUGCACCCGUUGUAUGCGAACGUUGAGUCUAUCACACCCGAUCAUCACGUGGUGUCUCGAAACGACGAACUGUCGCAACGGUGCAUAGUCGGGGAGAACACAAUUUUAUCUUGAAAUUUUAGUGAAGGAUCACGUUAUAAUGCUACCAUCGUUCUAAGAAAGAUAAGGUGCAUAAAAGGAUUAACAGCACAUGCAAUUCAUAAGUGACAUGAUAUGGCCAUGAUCUUGUGCUUCUUGAUCUCCAUCACCAAAGCACCGACAUGAUCUUCAUCGUCACCGGCACCACACCAUGAUCUCCACCAUCGUGCCGCCAUCGAGGUUGUCGUGCUAUAUACGCUAUCACUACUAAAGCUACAACCUAGCGAUAUAGUAAACGCAUAUGCAAACACAAACGUUAGUUUAAAGACAACCUUAUGGAUCCUGCCAGUUGCCGUAGCAUCGACGUGCAAGUCGAUAUUUAACUAUUACAAAAUGAUCAUCUCAUACAUCCAAUAUAUCACAUCAUGUCUUUGGCCAUAUCACAUCACAUGCAUACCCUGCAAAAACAAGUUAGACAUCCUCUAAUUUGUUGUUGCAUGUUUUACGUGGCUCCUAUGGGUAUCUAGUAUGAUCGCAUCUUACUUACGCAUAGCCACAACGGUAAUAUGCAAAUUGCUAUUUAACCUUUCUCCAAGGACCGCCUCGGUCAAAUCCGAUUCAACUAAAGUUGAAGAAACAGACACCCGCCAGUCAUCUUUAUGCAACAAGUUGCAUGUUAGUCGAUGAAACCGGUCUCUUGUAAGCGUACGAUUAAGGUUGGUUUGGGCCGCUUCAAUCCAACAAUACCGCCGAAUCGAGAAAAUACUAAGGAGGGCAGCAAAUUGAACAUCAAUGCCCACAAAAACUUGUUUGUUCUACUCGAGAUUACAUCUACGCAUGAACCUAGCUCAUGAUGCCACUAUUGGGGAACGUUUCAUGGGAAACUAAAAAAUUCCUACACACACGAAGACCUAUCAUGGUGAUGAUCAUCUACGAGAGGGAGAUCGGGUCCACAUACCCUUGUAGAUCGCUAAGUGGAAAUGUUAAGAAACGUGUAUGAUGUAGUGGUAUGUCUUCACGAUCCGUCCCACGAACCGUCUCACGAUCCGUCCCGAUCAAGUGUUGAACGGACGGCACCUCCGCGUUCCGCACACGUACAGCUCGAUGACGAUCUCCGCCUUCUUGAUCCAGCAAGAGGGGCGGAGAGGUAGAUGAGUUCUCCAGCAUGGCGAUGUGGUGGUGGUGUUGGUGGUGCUAUUCCAGCAGGGCUUCGCCUAAGCACCGCUGAAACUAGAGGAGAAACAGAUCUAGAGAGAGAGGGCAGCACGUGGCUGUUUCUGUUGUCCAAAAACCCUCAAAACCCUUAGUAUAUAUAGGAGGAGAGGAGGGAGAGGGUUGCGCCCUAGAGCAACCUUCUCUUCCCUUGCGCAAGGGAGAGGAGGAGGAGUCCUACUCCAAUCCUAUUUGGAGUAGGAUUCCUCCUUCCCACUUGGAAACUCUUUCCACCUUGUGUUUUUCCUUCUCAAACCUUAUGGGUCUUAGUGGGAACUUAUUCGAGCCCACUAGGGGAUGGUUUAUCUCUUGCCACAGCCCAUAAGGCCUCUUGGGGCGUGACACCCCUCCCGAUGGUCCCCGGCACACCUCCCGGCACUCCCGGUACACUACCGAUGAGCCCGAAACUUUUCCCGUGACCAAAACAGGACUCCCUAUAUAUCAAUCUUCAUUUCCGGACCAUUCUGGAAACCUUCGUGAUGUACGGGAUCUCAUCCGGCACUCUGAACAACCUUCGGUCACCAACACAUAUAACUUAACUAUACCGAAACAUCACCGAACUUUAAGUGUGUAGACCCUGCGGGUUCGAGAACUAUGUAGACAUGACCUGAGACACUCUUCGGUCAAUAACCAACGGCGGGACCUCGAUGUUCAUAUUGGCUCCUACAUAUUCUACGAAUAUCUCUAUCGGUUGAACCUCUAUGUCAAGGAUUAAUAUAAUCCCGUAUACUAUUCCCUUUGUCCUUCGGUAUGUUACUUGCCCGAGAUUCGAUCGUUGGUAUCUCCAUACCGAGUUCAAUCUCGUUACCGGCAAGUCUCUUUACUCGUUCCAUAAUACAAGAUCUCGUGACUAACUCCUUAGUCAUAUUGCUUGCAAGGCUUGUUGUGAUGUUGUAUUACCGAGUGGGCCCCCUAGAUACCACUCCGUCACAUGGAGUGACAAAUCACAGUCUUGAUCCAUGCCAACCUAAUAGACACCUUUGGAGAUACGUGUAGAGCACCUUUAUGGUCACCCAGUUAUGUUGUGACGUUUGAUACACACAAGGCAUUCCUCCGGUGUCCGGGAGUUGUGAUACGUCCAUUUUGCAUCAUGUUUUCAUGUUGAUAUUUAUUGCUUCUUGGGAUGUUAUAUUACUUGUGGUGCCAUAUUUAUGCCUUUUCGCUCUUAUUUUGCAAGGAUUAUUUGAAGAGGGAGAAUUCAGGCAGCUGGAAUUCUGGACUAGAAAAGGAGCAAAUCCUAGUCCACUAUUCUGCACAUCUCCAAAUGCCCUGAAAAUUUUCGUGGAUUUUUUCUAGAAUAUAUUAAAAAUACUGGGCGAAAGAACUACCAGAGGGGGCCACCAGGGCCCCACAAGCUUGCCCACCGCCGCCGCCCCCCUGGUGGCGCACGGCAGGCUUGUGGGCAGCCCACUGGCCCACUAGCCCCCCUCUUUUGCUAUAUGAUGCGUCCUGACCUGGAGAAAAUCAUACAGGAGCUUUUUCGUGGUUUCCCCGCCGCCACAGGGCGGAACUUGAGUAGAUCCAAUCUAGAGCUCCGGCAGGACGAUCUUGUCGGGGAAAUUUCCCUCCCGGAGGGGGGAAUCAUCACCAUCUUCAUCACCAACACUCCUCUCAGCGGAGGGGAGGCAUCUUCAUCAACAUCUUCAUCGGCACCAUCUCUUCUCCAAUCCCUAGUUCAUCUCUUGUAACCAAUCUUCGUCUCGCAACUCAGAUUAGUACUUGUAAGGUUGCUAGUAGUGUUGAUUACUCUUUGUAGUUGAUGCUUGUUGGAUUACUUGGUGGAAGAGUUUAUGUUCAGAUCCUUGAUGCUAUUCAUUACACCUCUGGUCAUGAUUAUGAUUAUAUCUUGUGAGUAGUUACUUUUGUUCCUAAGGACAUGGAAUAAGUCAUGCUGAUAAUAGUCAUGUGAAUUUGAUAUUCGUUCAGUAUUUUGAUAUGAUGUAUGUUGUUUUUCCUCUAGUGGUGUUAUGUGAACGUGGACUACAUAACACUUCACCAUAUUUGAGCCUAGAGGAAGGCAUUGUGAAGUAGUAAGUAGAUGAUGGGUUGCUGGAGUGACAGAAGCUUAAACCCCAGUUUAUGCGUUGCUUCGUGAGGGGAUGAUUUGGAUCCACUAGUUUAAUGCUAUGGUUAGACUUUGUCUUAAUUCUUCUUUUGUAGUUGCGGAUGCUUGCUAGAGAGGUUAAUCAUAAGUGGGAUGCUUGUCCAAGUAAGGUCAGUACCCAAGCGCCGGUCCACCCACAUAUCAAACUAUCAAAGUAACGAACGCGAAUCAUAUGAACAUGAUGAAACUAGCAUGACAGAAAUUCUCAUGUGUCCUCGGGAGCAUUUUUCCUCCUAUAUGACUUUGUUCAGGCUUGUCCCUUGCUACAAAAGGGAUUGGGCCACUUGCUGCACCGUUGCUACUACUUGUUAUUUGUUACUCUUUGCUUGCUACGUUUCACCUCGCUACACAAUCACUUGUUACCGCUACUUUCAGUGCUUGCAGUUAUUACCUUGCUGAAAUUCGUUUAUCACAGCCUUCUGCUCCUCGUUGGGUUCGACAAUCUUACUUAUAGAAAGGACUAUGAUUGAUCCCCUAUACUUGUGUUGGAAAUAUGCCCUAGAGGCAAUAAUAAAUUAGUUAUUAUUAUAUUUCUUUGUUCAUGAUAAUCGUUUCUUAUCCAUGCUAUAAUUGUAUUGAUUGGAAACACAGUGCAUGUGUGGAUACACAGACAAAACACAGUCCCUAGUAAGCCUCUAGUUGACUAGCUCGUUGAUCAAAGAUGGUCAAGGUUUCCUGACCAUAGGCAAGUGUUGUCACUUGAUAACGGGAUCACAUCAUUAGGAGAAUCAUGUGAUGGACUAGACCCAAACUAAUAAGACGUAGGAUGUUGAUCGUGUCAUUUUGUUGCUAUUGUUUUCUGCGUCUCAAGUAUUUGUUCCUAUGACCAUGAGAUCAUAUAACUCACUGACACCGGAGGAAUGCUUUGUGUGUAUCAAACGUUGCAACGUAACUGGGUGACUAUAAAGAUGCUCUAUAGGUAUCUCCGAAGGUGUUCGUUGAGAUAGUAUGGAUCGAGACUGGGAUUUGUCACUCCGUGUGACGGAGAGGUAUCUCGGGGCCCACUCGGUAAUACAACAUCACNNNNNNNNNNNNNNNNNNNNNNNNNNNNNNNNNNNNNNNNNNNNNNNNNNNNNNNNNNNNNNNNNNNNNNNNNNNNNNNNNNNNNNNNNNNNNNNNNNNNNNNNNNNNNNNNNNNGGUAAACGAGAUUGAAAUAGGUAUGCGGAUACUGACGAUCGAAUCUCGGGCAAGUAACAUACCGAAGUACAAAGGGAAUGACAUACGGGAUUAUAUGAAUCCUUGGCACCGAGGUUCAAACGAUAAGAUCUUCGUAGAAUAUGUAGGAUCCAAUAUGGGCAUCCAAGUCCCGCUAUUGGAUAUUGACCGAGGAGUCACUCGGGUCAUGUCUACAUAGUUCUCGAACCCGCAGGGUCUGUACACUUAAGGUUCGACGUUGUUUUAUGCGUAUUUGAGUUAUAUGGUUGGUUACCGAAUGUUGUUCGGAGUCCCGGAUGAGAUCACGGACAUCACGAGGGUUUCCGGAAUGGUCCGGAAACAAAGAUUGAUAUAUAGGAUGACCUCAUUUGAUUACCGGAAGGUUUUCGGAGUUACCGGGAAUAUACCGGGAAUGACGAAUGGGUUCCUCGGAAUGUACCAGGAAUGACGAAUGGGUUCCGGGUGUUCACCGGGGGGGCAACCCACCCCGGGGAAGCCCAUAGGCCUUGGGGGUGGCGCACCAGCCCUUAGUGGGCUGGUGGGACAGCCCAAUAAGGCCCUAUGCGCCAUAGGAAGAAAAUCAAAGAGAAAAAGGAAAAAAGAAAAGGGGAGGUGAGAAAAAGGGGAAGGACUCCACCUUCCAAACCUAGUUGGAUUCGGUUUGGAAGGGGAGGACUCCCCCCCUUGGCUCGACCGACCCCCAAGGCAAGGCCCCCCUCUCCCACCUAUAUAUACGGAGGUUUUAGGGUUGAUUUGAGACAACUUUGCCACGGCAGCCCGACCACAUACCACCAUGGUUUUACCUCUAGAUCGCGUUUCUGCGGAGCUCGGGUGGAGCCCUGCUGAGAUUAGAUCACCACCAAACUCCGGAGCGCCGUCAUGCUGCCCGAGAACUCAUCUACCUCUCCGUCUCUCUUGCUGGAUCAAGAAGGCCGAGAUCAUCGUCGAGCUGUACGUGUGCUGAACGCGGAGGUGCCGUCCGUUCGGCACUAGAUCGUGGGACGGAUCGCGGGACGGUUUGCGGGGCGGAUCGAGGGACGUGAGGACGUUCCACUACAUCAACCGCGUUUCUUAACGCUUCUGCUGUGCGAUCUACAAGGGUACAUAGAUCAAAUAUCCCCUCUCGUAGAUGGACAUCACCAUGAUAGGUCUUCGUGCGCGUAGGAAAAUUUUUGUUUCCCAUGCGACGUUCCCCAACAACUUGUGGGUCAUCAAGACUCUUUUCUGGCGCCGUUGCCGGGGAGUGAAGCGCCUUUGGUAAGUGGAAAUUGGUAAGGAAACAAUUUUAUACUGUGCUGAAAUUUAUUGUCACUUGUCACUAUGGAAACUCUUCCUUUGAGGAGUUUGUUCGGGGUAUCUUCACCAUGAACGGAAGCACGAGGAUUUGCUCCUCAACCUGAGGUACCUACUGAAAAUAUCUUUUAUAAAAUUCCUUUGGGUAUGCUUGAGAAAUUGCUGGCUAAUCCUUUUACAGGAGAUGGAUCUUCACAUCCAGACUUUCAUCUAAUCUAUGUAGAUGAAGUUUGUGGUUUAUUUAAGCUUGCAGGUUUGCCCGAGGAUGAGGUAAAGAAGAAACUCUUUCCUUUAUCUUUGAAGGAUAAGGCAUUGACAUGGUAUAGGCUAUGUGAUGAUACUGGAUCAUGCAGCUACAAUCGGUUGAAAUUGGAAUUUCAUCAAAAGUUCUAUCCCAUGCAUUUAGUAUAUCAUGAUCGGAACUUUAUUUAUAACUUUUGGCCUCGUGAUAGGGAAAGCAUAGCUCAAGCUUGGGGGAGGCUUAAAUCAAUGCUAUAUUCAUGCCCCAAUCAUGAGCUCUCGAGAGAAAUCAACACUCAAAACAUUUAUGCUCGGAUUUCUCAUGAAGAUCGUACCAUGCUUGAUACUUCUUGUGCCGGUUCUUUUAUGAAGAAGAAUAUUGAUCACAAGUGGAAUUUAUUGGAGAGAAUCAAACGCAACUCUGGAGAUUGGGAGCUGGAGGAAGGUAAGGACUCAGGUAUGAAUUUCUAUUUUGAUUGCGUUAAAUCUUUUGUUGAGACAAACACUUCUAGAGAGCGCUAAGUAUGGACUUGACUCUGAGAUAGUAGCUUCUCUUUGUAAAUCUUUUGCUGCUCAUGUUGAUCUUCCCAAAGAGAAGUGGUUUAAAUAUCAUCCUCCUGUAGAAAGCAACAUAGCCAAAACCAAUCUAGUUGAGGAGAAAAUCAUAGCUUUUAGUGAUCCUGUUGUUCCUUGUGCUUACACUGAGAAACCACCAUACCCUGCUAGGAUGAAGGAUUAUUCUAAAGCUCCAACUGUGAUACGUAGGGGUUACAUUAGACCACUUGCACCCCCUGAAGAGAUUAGAGUUGAACCUAGUGUUGCUAUUAUCAAAGAUCUCUUAGCCAAAGAGAUAGAUGGGCAUGUUAUCAAAUUCUGUGAGGACUCCGCUAGAAUUGCUAAACCUCACGCGAAAGACAAGCACGGACCUGUAGUUGGCCUGCCCGUUGUUUCUGUUAAGAUAGGAGAUCACUGUUACCAUGGUUUAUGUGAUAUGGGAGCUAGUGUUAGUGCAAUACCCCGUUCUCUAUAUGAUGAAAUCAAAGAUGAGAUUGCACCAGCUGAGAUAGAACCCAUUGAUGUCACUAUCACGCUAGCUAAUAGAGACACUAUAUGCCCUUUGGGAAUUGUGAGAGAUGUAGAAGUCCUGUGUGGUAAGACGAAGUAUCCUACUGAUUUCCUCGUCCUUGGUACUACACAAGAUAGCUUUUGUCCCAUCAUAUUCGGUAGACCCUUUCUCAACACUAUCAAUGCUCACAUUGAUUGCAUUAAGCAGACUGUCAUAGUAAGUUUCGAGGGUGUGUCUCAUGAAUUUAACUUCUCCAAGUUUGGAAGACAACCCCAUGAAAGAGAUUCAUCUGGUAGGGAUGAAAUCAUUGCUCUUUCCUCUAUUGCCAUACCUCCUACGAAUCCUUUAGAGCAAUAUCUGCUUGAGCAUGAAAAUGAUAUGCAUACGGAGGAGAGAGAUGAGAUAGAUAGAAUUGUCUUAGAACAAUGUCCUAUUCUCAAGAAUAAUCUGCAUGUUGAACUGCUUGGGGAUCCUCCCCCACCAAAGGGUGAUCCUGUGUUCGAGCUUAAACAGUUGCCUGAUACUCUUAAGUAUGCCUAUCUUGAUGAGAAGGAGAUAUAUCCUGUCAUUAUUAGUGCUCUCCUCUCAGAGCGUGAAGAGAAGAAGUUACUAAAAACUCUGAGGAAGCACCGCGCUGCUAUUGGAUAUACUCUUGAUGAUCUUAAGGGUAUUAGUCCUACUCUAUGUCAGCACAAGAUUAAAACCGAUCCUGACUUUAAACCAGUUGCUGAUCAUCAAAGGAGAUUAAAUCCUAAGAUGAAAGAGGUCGUUAGAAAAGAAAUAUUAAAGCUUCUGGAAGCAGGAAUCAUUUAUCCUAUUGCUCAUAGUGAUUGGGUAAGUCCAGUACAUUGCGUACCUAAGAAGGGAGGUAUCACCGUCGUUCCUAAUGAUAAGGAUGAACUAAUCCCACAAAGGAUUAUUACCGGCUAUAGAAUGGUGAUAGACUUCCGGAAACUGAACAAGGCAACCAGGAAAGAUCAUUAUCCUUUGCCGUUCAUCGACCAAAUGCUAGAAAGGCUAUCAAAGCACACACACUUUUGCUUUCUAGACGGUUAUUCAGGUUUCUCGCAAAUACCUGUUGCAUAAUUUGAUCAAGAGAAAACCACCUUCACCUGCCCUUUCGAUACCUUUGCCUAUAGAUGUAUGCCUUUUGGCUUAUGUAAUGCACCUGCCACCUUUCAAAGAUGUAUGAUGGCUAUAUUCUCUGACUUUUGUGAAAAGAUUGUCGAGGUUUUCAUGGAUGACUUCUCCAUUUACGGGUCUUCCUUUGAUGAUUGCCUCAGCAACCUUGAUCGAAUCUUACAGAGAUGCGAAUAAACCAACCUCGUCUUGAAUUGGGAGAAGUGCCACUUUAUGGUUAAUGAAGGUAUCGUCUUAGGACACAAAAUCUCUGAAAGAGGCAUUGAAGUUGAUAAGGCUAAGGUUGAUGCAAUUGAGAAAAUGCCUUGCCCCACAGAUAUCAGAGGUAUACGAAGUUUCCUAGGUCAUGCUGAUUUCUAUAGAAGGUUCAUUAAAGACUUCUCUAAGAUUUCUAGGCCUCUUACCAACCUCUUGCAGAAGGAUGUUCCUUUUGUUUUUGAUGAGGAUUGUGAGGAAGCCUUCGAAAUACUUAAGAAGGCUUUGAUAACCGCACCUAUUGUUCAACCACCUGACUGGAACUUUCCCUUUGAAAUCAUGUGUGACGCUAGUGAUUAUGCUGUUGGUGUUGUUCUAGGACAAAGAGUUGACAAGAAGUUGAAUGUCAUUCACUACGCUAGUAAAACUCUAGACAGUGCCCAAAGGAACUAUGCCACUACGGAGAAGGAAUUUUUAGCACUCGUGUUUGCAUGUGAAAAAAUCAGAUCUAACAUAGUUGACUCCAAGGUCACUAUUCACUCUGAUCAUGCUCCUAUUAAGUACCUUAUGGAGAAGAAGGACGCUAAGCCUAGGCUUAUCAGAUGGGUUCUCCUGCUACAGGAAUUUGAUUUGCACGUCAUUGACCGAAAGGGUGCUGAUAACCCUGUAGCAGAUAACUUGUCUAGGCUAGAGAAUGUCCUUGAUGACCCACUACCAAUUGAUGACAGCUUUCCUGAUGACCAAUUAAAUGUCAUCCGCACUUCACUUAGUGCACCAUGGUAUGCCGAUUAUGCAAACUAUAUCGUAGCCAAAUACAUACCACCCAGUUUCACCUAUCAACAAAAGAAGAAAUUCUUCUUUGAUUUGAGACACUACUUUUGGGAUGAUCCUCACCUUUAUAAGGAAGGAGUAGAUGGUGUUAUUAGACGUUGUGUGCCUGAACAUGAACAGGGACAGAUCCUGCAGAAGUGUCAUUCCGAAGCCUACGGAGGACACCACGCUGGAGAUAGAACUGCCCAUGAGGUAUUGCAAUCAGGUUUCUAUUGGCCCACUCUCUUCAAGGAUGCUCGUAAGUUUGUCUUGUCUUGUGACAAAUGCCCAAGGAUAGGGAACAUCAGUAAGCGUCACAAGAUGCCUAUGAACUAUUCACUUGUCAUUGAACCAUUUGAUGUCUGGGGCUUUGAUUAUAUGGGACCCUUCCCGAGUUCCAGUGGGUACACUCACAUCUUAGUUGUUGUGGAUUACGUUACUAAGUGGGUAGAAGCUAUCCCCACUAAAAAUGCUGAUCACCACAACUCUAUUAAGAUGCUUAAAGAAGUUAUAUUCCCAAGAUUUGGAGUCCCUAGAUACUUGAUGACUGAUGGCGGUUCACACUUCAUUCAUGGUGUUUUCCGCAAGAUGCUAGCUAAGUAUGAUGUCAACCAUAGAGUUGCAUCUCCUUAUCAUCCUCAGUCUAGUGGUCAAUUGGAGUUGAGUAAUAGGGAGAUCAAGUUGAUCUUACAAAAGACCGUCAAUAGAUCCCGAAAGAACUGGUCUAGCAAACUUGACGAUGCACUAUGGGCUUAUAGGACUGCUUAUAAAAAUCCCAUGGGCAUGUCACCGUAUAAAAUGGUUUACGGUAAGGCCUGUCAUUUACCUCUUGAGUUGGAACACAAAGCUUAUUGGGCAAUCAAAGAGCUCAACUUUGAUUUCAAACUUGCCAGUGAGAAGCGGUUGUUUGAUAUCAGCUUGUUGGAUGAAUGGAGAGCCCAGGCAUAUGAGAAUACCACGUCGUCAAGGAAAAGGUUAAGAGAUGGCACGACAAACGAAUACAGAAACGAGAGUUCAAUGUAGGUGAUUAUGUCUUGCUAUACAAUUCUCGUUUGAGAUUCUUUGGAGGCAAGCUUCUCUCUAAAUGGGAAGGUCCCUACGUUGUCGAGGAAGUAUAUCGUUCCGGUGCCAUCAAAAUCAAUAAUACAAGGAAAUUUUCCUAGAGUGGUAAAUGGGCAAAGAAUCAAGCAUUACAUCUCUGGUACUCCCAUAAAUGUUGAGACCAAUAUCAUCAAUGUCAUAACUCCACAGGAGUACAUAAGGGAUGUUUAUCAGCCUGUUUCAGACCUUGAAAACGAAGAUGUAUCUGUUUCGGCAAGAAAUUGGACUCCGAUACUUUUCCAAUAGGAAAUUUCCUCAGUUUUGGAAUUUUUGGAAAAUUAGAAAAAUAAAAAAGCAGUCCGGAGAGCAAACGAGGAAGCCACAAGGGCCCACUCCGCCACCACCCCCUGGUGGCGGUGGGCAAGCUUGUGGGCACCUUGUGUGCCUCCCGGACUCCGUUUUCUUGCAGAGGACUCCUUCUGGCCCAGAAAAAAUCAAUAUAUAGUUGCCCGAAGGUUUUGAUCUUCAUAUCGCGUAGUUUUCCUCUGUUUUCGUUUCGAGCUUGUUUCUGCCGCAGAUCUAGAUCAUCAUGACUUCCCCAAACGCUCCUAAGGACAAGAUCUUGGAGAAGGUCAUCAAUCCCUACCUCACGGAAGUGCUAAAACACCAUCAAUCUAUCAAGAUGAGCGAGGGGAUGUUGCACAUCCGUGAUGUUGAGGGGCCUAAGAAGACCGGAAGCAUGGAGACGAGGCUCGAAGUAGUGGAGCAACAAGUCUUCAUGUGCCAAGGGAUGGUUGAGCGUGGACUCAACGCCAACCACACGAUGAUCACGGAGUUCACUAGCAAUCACAAGAUGGAUGUCAUUGAUAUCGGGAAACACCUCUCCAGACUUUACGAUAGGGUUGACCAACUUCAGGGCCAAAUCUAUGACCUGCAGAAUCAAAACUGUGAGUAUGGGUAUAGAUUUAAAUCAAUAAGGUUGGCUGCAGAUUUGAGGAUUUCGGCUACUCGUUCAUCCUGCCAUGAUGGAGCACCUAUGCCUUGGAAGACGGAGGAUCAGACUACUCCAACAACACCACCAUCAUCACCAAAGGAAGACAACUAAGCAUUGGUAUGGGCAAUCCCCUUGGCUUCUGCCGAGCUUGGGGGAGUUGCCCUGGUAUCAUAUCACCUUUAUAUCUUUUGCUUUUACCUUUGUUUUAGUUCUUUCCCUUUCAGUUUUUAUUUCUUCUUUUAGAGGAAUAAGUCUUUAGUUUUUAGUUUGAGUCUUUUGCUUUUGGUCUCUCCCCCGAUGUAUUCGAGCUUACGAGCUAUAUAAUAAAGAGUGUCUUAGUCAAAGGGCUUUGCUUUGUGCCAUGAUCAAAAGUAUGAAAAGAACGAUAGCAUGAAAGAUCAUGAGACGAUCUUAUGGAAAGUGAUAACUUCACUUAUGACACGUAUGAUGAUUGAAACUUGUCGAGAAUAAAUCAACACAUACCUCAGUCAUUGUUGCAAUUAAUAAGAAGUAAUAAGGAAAGAGAGGUUCACAUAUAAAUAUAUCAUCUUAGACACUUUCUACAAUUGUGAGCACUCACCAAACUAUUACAUGCCUAGGAGUAGAUGUUGGACAAGGAAGACAACAUAAUGAAUUGUGUUUGCUUGGUUCCAAACAAUGUUAUAUGAUUAGAGAUCCCUUAGCAUGUGACGAUUGCUUCCACCUCAUAUUAGCCAAAACUUCCGCACCAAGUAGAGAUACUACUUGUGCAUCCAUAAACCUUCAACCCAGUUUUGCCAUGAGAGUCCACCAUACCUACCUAUGGAUUGAAUAAGAUCCUUCAAGUAAGUUGUCAUCGGUGCAAGCAAUAAAAAUUGCUCUCUAAUAUGUAUGAUCUAUUAGUGUGUGGAAAAUAAGCUUUGUACGAACCUGUGAUGAGGAAGACAUAAAAGCGACAGACUGCAUAAUAAAGUUCUUUGUCACAGGAGGCAAUAUAAAGUGACGUUCCUCCGCACUAAGAGGACACGCAUUCAAACCUCAAAAGUGCAUGACAACCUCUGCUUCCCUCUGCGAAGGGCCUAUCUUGUACCUUUACUUUUACCCUUGUAAGAGUCAUGGUGAUCAUCACCAAUUCCCUUUUUGCCUUCGUCUUGGCUACCGUCACAUGCUUGGAAAAGAUCUAUAUUCAUAUAUCAACUUGGAGUUGAGUACUCAUGCUUUAUUGUUGUUGACUUUACCCUUGAGGUAAACCGUUGGGAGGAAAAACUAUAAGCCCCCAUCUUCCUCUGUGUCGAGCUGAAGCUUUGACACCAUGAGUACCACGUGAGCUAUAAAAAUUGUGGAAAACAAAAGAGAUGAUUGAGUAUGUGGGUUUGCCUUACAAGCUCUUAUUUGACUCUUUCUGAUGUUGUGAUAAAUUGCAAUUGCUUCAAUGAUUAUGGACUAUUGUUGGUUACUUCUCGGUAAGGUUUUUGCUUCAUGCUUUGCUUUGUGAAGGAAUUGUUACUUUCCCAUAAGAAUCUUUAUAUAUAUUGUUGUUCUAUGUGUGAUCAUGAUGCCCUCAUGUCUGUAUUAUGUUUUAUCGACACCUUCGUCCCUCAACAUGUGGACGUGUUUAUGGAACUUGGUUUUCGCUUGAGGACAAGCGAGGUCUAAGCUUGGGGGAGUUGAUACGUCCAUUUUGCAUCAUGUUUUCAUGUUGAUAUUUAUUGCUUCUUGGGAUGUUAUAUUACUUGUGGUGCCAUAUUUAUGCCUUUUCGCUCUUAUUUUGCAAGGAUUAUUUGAAGAGGGAGAAUUCAGGCAGCUGGAAUUCUGGACUAGAAAAGGAGCAAAUCCUAGUCCACUAUUCUGCACAUCUCCAAAUGCCCUGAAAAUUUACGUGGAUUUUUUCUGGAAUAUAUUAAAAAUACUGGGCGAAAGAACUACUGGAGGGGGGCCACCAGGGCCCCACAAGCUUGCCCACCACCACCACCCCCUGGUGGCGCACGGUAGGCUUGUGGGCAGCCCACUAGCCCACUAGCCCCCCUCUUUUGCUAUAUGAUGCGUCCUGACCUGGAAAAAAUCAUACAGGAGCUUUUUCGUGGUUUCGCCGCCACCACGGGGCGGAACUUGAGCAGAUCCAAUCUAGAGCUCUGGCAGGACAAUCCUGCCGGGGAAAUUUCCCUCCCGGAGGGGGGAAUCGUCGCCAUCUUCAUCACCAACACUCCUCUCGUCGGAGGGGAGGCAUCUUCAUCAACAUCUUCAUCAGCACCAUCUCUUCUCCAAUCCCUAGUUCAUCUCUUGUAACCAAUCUUCAUCUCGCAACUCAAAUUGGUACUUGUAAGGUUGCUAGUAGUGUUGAUUACUCUUUGUACUUGAUGCUUGUUGGAUUACUUGGUGGAAGAUUUUAUGUUCAGAUCCUUGAUGCUAUUCAUUACACCUCUGGUCAUGAUUAUGAUUAUGUCUUGUGAGUAGUUACUUUUGUUCCUGAGGACAUGGAAUAAGUCAUGCUGAUAAUAGUCAUGUGAAUUUGAUAUUCGUUCGGUAUUUUGAUAUGAUGUAUGUUGUUUUUCCUCUAGUGGUGUUAUGUGAAUGUCAACUACAUAACACUUCACCAUAUUUGGGUCUAGAGGAAGGCAUUGGAAAGUAGUAAGUAGAUGAUGGGUUGCUGGAGUGACAGAAGCUUGAACCCCAGUUUAUGCGCUACUUCGUGAGGGGUUGAUUUGGAUCCACUAGUUUAAUGCUAUGGUUAGACUUUGUCUUAAUUCUUCUUUUGUAGUUGCGGAUGCUUGCGAGAUAGGUUAAUCAUAAGUGGGAUGCUUGUCCAAGUAAGGGCAGUACCCAAGUGCCGGUCCACCCACAUAUCAAACUAUCAAAGUAACGAAUGCGAAUCAUAUGAACAUGAUGAAACUAGUAUGACAGAAAUUCCCGUGUGUCCUCGGGAGCGUUUUCCUCCUAUAAGACUUUGUUCAGGCUUGUCCCUUGCUACAAAAGGGAUUGGGCCACUUGCUGCACCGUUGCUACUACUUGUUACUUGUUACUCUUUGCUUGCUACGUUUCACCUCGCUACACAAUCACUUGUUACCGCUACUUUCAGUGCUUGCAGUUAUUACCUUGCUGAAAUCCGUUUAUCAGAGCCUUUUGCUCCUCGUUGGGUUCGACACUCUUACUUAUCGAAAUGACUACGAUUGAUCCCCUAUACUUGUGGGUCAUCAAGUUGCGUGAUCACAUGGUCAUAGGAACAGAAACAUUGACAUGCAGAAAAAUAGUAGCAAUAAACUGACACGAUCAUAUGCUACAUUUAUAGUUCGGUUCUUGUCCAUCACAUCAUUCUCCCAAUGAUGUGAUCCCGUCAUCAAGUGACAACACUUGCCUAUGGCCAGGAAACCUUGACCAUCUUUGAUCAACGAGCUAGUCAACUAGAGGCUCACUAGGGACAGUGGGUUGUCUAUGUAUCCACACAUGUAUUUGAGUUUCCAAUCAAUACAAUUCUAGCAUGGAUAAAUAAAUGAUUAUUACGAACAAGGAAAUAUAAUAAUAACCAAUUUAUUAUUGCCUCUAGGGCAUAUUUCCAACAAUUUCUAUGUAAAAGGUGCGGAUAGUACCUCAUUCUCGUCUAUCCCAAGCUGAGGUAUGUCACCGACCCUAUGCUCAUCCAUGCAUACAAAAUUAUCCACUGGAGCCCUGAAUAAUUUUUUAUAGUAUUCAAAGAUAUAUUGUUUGAGAUUCUCAUGUCCCACAAUUGUACCCUCAUCUUGUUCUAGCUGGAUAAUUUUUUUAUUCCUAUGCUUUCCAUUAGCUAUUAGAUGGAAAUGUUGUGUGUUGUCAUCUCCUUGUACCACUUGGAGGACUUUCGCUCUUAGUGCCCACUUCAACUCCUCCUCUCUGAGUAGUUGUUUGAGCUUUAGUUCAGCCUCCAUUUUUCAAUGACCUCUCAUUGUCACCUAAUAACGUUUGUUCGGCUUUUAUGUCUAGUGUGUUUAUAAGUUUAUAAGUUCGACAAGCCUUUGUUUCUUUUUCUUAUAAAUUACACUAUCGUGCUUUUCCCAACCCCUUAAGAAUUGCCUCAGGUGUCUUAUCUUAUUUUGCCACCUGUCAACAUUCGAGUCACCUUCUGUGAAAUAGCCCAUUCUCAAACCCGUCCCUUUCAAACCAUCCCAAUUCGAAAGAAAAAAGGUUUUUAUUUCCCACAUGUGUUGCUUCUCGCGAGUCUACAAACAGUGGGGUAUGAUCAGAGAUAGCUCUUGGUAACUCUCAAACUGUGACGAGAGGGAAUUUCUGCUCCCAUUCCACACUCAUGAGAACCCGGUCCAACUUCUCAAAAGUUGGGUUAGGUAAAGAGUUUGCCCAAGUAAACUUUCUCCCUGAUAGCUCAAUCUCCCACAAAUUAAGGCUCUCGAUGAUUGAAUUAAACAUAAAUGACCAUCUUCCAUCAAAGUUAUCACUGUUUUUCUCAUCCUGCCUCCAGAUUAUAUUAAAAUCGCCCCCUACUAAAAUCGGCAGUCUCUCGUCCCCGCAGAUUCGGACAAGGUCAGCCAAGAAAUCUCUCUUGAACUCAGGCUGGGCCGCCCCAUGCACAUCUACGAGUGCCCAUUGGAACCCGUCAUCUUUGGAGCGAACUCAAAAUUUGACUGCAAAGUCUCCAUACACCACUUUCGUAGUUGUGGUGUCUCGCACCGAACCCCAAGCAAGAUCCCACCUGAUCUUCCUCUUGGAGGUAGACAAUGCCAGUCAAAUUCAGAACCUCCAUACAACGUGUUUAAAAACGAAGCUAUAUAGUUAUCUCUCCCAGUUUCCAUCAAUGCAACGAAAUCCAAUUUGUGCUCAAUAGUUGUUUCAGCUAGGAAUCUUCUUUUAGCCAAGUCUGCUAGACCUCUGCUAUUCCAAAAUGUUCCUUUCAUCGCUCAUCAUGAAAUUUCUUAGCCGUUUUAAAUCUAGCACUACGACGCACAGCUGAAACAGGAUAGACUUUUCUCUUCCAGGUUCUUUUUGGCCUAUCCUGAACCUCCGACCGAUCCACAUAACCGUUGGACUCUUGUGCGUUAGCAUUCGUUUGUGGAGGAGCCUCAUACCCCUCCUGAACGAUAUCAUUUGUGUCUUCAAGCAAAAGGGGGGUGGCACAAGAUCCUCACAUAAACGCUCUAAGGCUCCCAAACCCAAUGCAUUUAUAUCAGAAUCAUUCAUAGGUUUUACGGCUGCAAUUUUUCUGACCAUCUCAAUUGCCCUCUCUGCCUCUAAGUCUAACAUGUCAUUUACCGAUCUAGAUAUCUCCUGGUCUACCAAACGCUAGAAUAAGGCCUAGUAACGGGCCCGACCCAUGCCAUUUUGGCCCAUGACUGCAACCAAACACACCCUUAAGUAACUUCUACAAUAUCCAUCCCCAACUUCCAGAAAUUCUAACACUUAAAAAAUCAAAAUCAAACUAUUGGCAUUUAAAACUUUCAUACAUUUCAUUUCUGAAAAAAAUGGUCUUUUAGAUUUCGAAAUAUCAGUAUUAUAUUUUUUACAAAAUUUAACUUUAAGAAUUUUCAAAAUUAUAAGGAUUCAAAAUUCAAAUGUUUUAGCACUUAAAAAAAUUCAAACUUUAAAAAAAUUGAACUUUCAAAUGUUUUGAAUUUUAAGAAGUGUGAACUUUCAUUUUUUUAUAAAGGAUGGGUUUUAUUUACUCAAAAUAAAGCAUCAAGAGCAUACAAAUACAAUAAGAACACACCCGGCCACUUUAUAACUAGGAUGCACACAACCAACUCAAACUCACACACACAAAAAUACGAUCGGUAAAUAGCAAAGUCAUAUAAGACCAAAGCUAUGUGCGCGGUUGGAAAAAGAAACCAAAGCGACCAUAUUGGCAAUGGACAAACUACAACAAUGACCAUAUCUGCACCAACAAUUUCAUUACACCACACGGACAACGAGGUUCCUCAACAAUGACACCUUCAGAAAGGGAGCGACGCUCAAAUGCCGCUAUCAUCGGAUCCAACCAUCCAAGGUCAGAUGCAAGAUUUUCACUCUGAGAAUCAGUCCAAGCAUGUCCGAGCAAUUCCUUCAAUAAGGUAAUGGCGUAAAAACAUCGCCAUUGCCAGGUACAGCCAACUCGAGUUGGACCUAGGCUUUCACCCGGGAGCUCAAGACCGGGUGCUCGAGAAGCACCACCAUCGAAGUCACUAUGUGUUGUUGCCACUACUUUUCCACAAUCUCAGUAGCUAUAUGCGAUGUGUGACCGCUGAUGCUGCACAACCAUCCCUCUACAUCAAGCCAUCAUCAAUAGUUUCAAUCUCACCGUUGAAGUCAACCAUCGGAUCUCCAAGAUCAAUCAUGAAGACCUUUUGAUGGAUACUACAUCAAUCCGCCGCGAGACCGCCACCGUAGUCAUGGUGGUCACCACACGUUCGUCGUCACGCCCCUAGCAGACCUAAAGGUCCACACCAAGGAACCACGGGUCCACACGCAUGGAGCCAUGGAUGUGUGUGUGGAUCAUGAAACGACCAAUCCAUGGCCAUGGCCAUUAGAUGAGACUAUCCCUGGCUGAUGGCAGGUGUCCAAGCCCUGCCGACAUGGCCACUACACCAUGGGCGCCAUCCCACAUGAAGGAGCCACCAGGCGGAGCAGCGACCACAAGUGAGGCGAGAUCUACACCAGCAAUGGCUGGAUCAUCCAGGUAACUGUCCGCUGGAUCUGUGGUGACAUCGUUGGAGGAAGCACGGGGUAGAGAGUGUGAAUCUGGGUUGGGGGAGAGGGGAAGGUCGGGGAAGAAGAUCCCUGUGGCGGUUGAGUCCCGCCGCCGCUGACAAACUGUCAUCGAUGAUGACGACGAGGAUGGAACAUCGGAGGCGGCCUCGAGUGCUAGGGUUUCUCGCCCCCGGUGUCGCCCUGGAGCAACACGGGAGGCCGAUGGCGAUUUCAUAGGAGAGAGAGAGAGAAGGUUGAGAAAUAGAAUCACAUGGUUGGGCAUGUGAGGAAAGAGAGAGAUGGAAAGAAGCACAUGGAUGAGGCCCCCUCGUCCUAUCUACCACAUGGUAACCUGACACAGUCACAUGCAAUGCUUGCGGCAAUGACCAUGGGCACAGUUCCCACAAGAGAGCAUUCUUAGAGUAAUAGCGAGUCUCAUCCUCAUGUUGGAUGCCUAUAUAAAGCUUCUCCUUUCCAACAUUCAUCAUACGAAUUGGCCAAAAUUUCUUUCUCAUUUGUGAUCUUUCAUCACAUUCAACUUUCCUUUGUAUAUAUUGUUGCUAAGCUUCAAAUUCUAAUCAGCUGGAGCUAAGCAAUGAAUUCUUCAUGCCAUCGAGCAUUCCUCGUGAGGAACAUCUUUUGUACUUUGGAAUGAGUGGUAUCGAGAAAUUAGUCAGGACGACUUUCUGAGGCUGAGGCGCCGCUUUUUUCUGUUCUCGUCUCUGAGACGUUGAGGUGGUAGACAUUUAUGAUAAGUGCAUUUCUUGUUGAGAAUAGCAUCGAUAAUCAUGUCUAGUCUAACAACUUGCUCAUUUAGGACUACCCUGGACAGUGCAACAAGUAAAAUACCAAAUCCUUGUACAAAAACAAGUUGUUGCCCUGUGGUGAGGAGUUGAAGCUAUGGCAUGAACUCGUCCAUGUGUGCGGUAUUUCUCCUUGUUGUUUCCAUCGUCUCUAGAAAUCGCUAAAAAGAUCAAAAACAAUAUCAAACCGUUGACACUAUGUGUCUACCAUCUCACACAAAUUCGAACCCAUAUCCAUCGCAGAUCUCCAAAAACAAACAAACAAGACGGAUCCAGUGUUGAACAGCAUAGCAACUAAUUCAAAUCAGCACAUGAACACAUCAUAUCAUCAGCACCAACACAAGAUUGUUUUUUUUUCUCUUUUCUUCAAACAAUAUCCUGAUUAAGGUUUAAAUAUUCUUGUGGCGUUGUAAAUACAUGUUGUGUGUCAGAGACAUAAUUCUUUUUCAAAUAAAAAAACAUAACUUUUUUUACCACAAAUUUUUCUAGGCUUAUGUGUGUGUAUCUUCCUUGUUUCAGUUCCAAGUGACAAGAGGCAAACUUGUCACGGUUGACUGAAUAGAACAGUAGCAAUCGACCUGCCCGGAGCUUCUAUUUUUUGUAGGUGAUUUUCUCUGUUAAGAGUGACUUCUUCUUUUUUGAGAGUUUUGUUAAGAGUGACAUGAAAUCUGCAUAUGGCGAUCGAGCACGCAUGCCGGCGAUCCCACACGGCGCACCGCAGCCACAAGCCGAUCGCCCCCACAAAAUCUGCCCGACGGCUCCCACCGGGAUGGGAUUCCCCGGUGCCAAUGGCGCGCGCCCACCUCACCCCCUCUUAUCCCCGCCUCACCCACUCGCGCCACGCCCCUUAUCCCCUCCUCUUACAAACCCACACAAACUAAUCAUCGCCCACCACCCUCCAACGAUCACCAACCAAAACCCCUCCACACGCCCGCCCGCGCGCGCCACGGACGCAGCAAUGGCCGCCCUCGCCGCCUCCAUCGCCACCUCCACGGCGUUCGCCGCGAAGCCGCGCCUGUCCCGCCCGCCGGCGCGCCUCUCCGUCUCCUGCUCCGCGUCCAGCGGCGACAACAACAACAGCACCGCCACCCCCUCGCUCUCCGCCUCCAUCAAGACCUUCUCGGCCGCGCUGGCGCUCUCCUCCGUGCUCCUCUCCUCCGCCGCCACCUCCCCGCCCCCCGCGGCUGCCGACAUCGCCGGCCUGACCCCGUGCAAGGAGUCCAAGGCCUUCGCCAAGCGGGAGAAGCAGUCGGUCAAGAAGCUCAACUCGUCGCUCAAGAAGUACGCGCCCGACUCCGCCCCGGCGCUCGCCAUCCAGGCCACCAUCGACAAGACCAAGCGCCGGUUCGAGAACUACGGCAAGUUCGGCCUGCUCUGCGGCUCCGACGGCCUGCCCCACCUCAUCGUCAGCGGCGACCAGCGGCACUGGGGCGAGUUCAUCACCCCCGGCGUGCUCUUCCUCUACAUCGCCGGCUGGAUCGGCUGGGUCGGACGCAGCUACCUCAUCGCCGUCAGCGGCGAGAAGAAGCCCGCCAUGAGGGAGAUCAUCAUCGACGUCGAGCUCGCCGCCAGGAUCAUCCCCAGGGG
rnacentral:lncRNA from 1 species